ensembl:lncRNA
GUGUGAGGCAAACGUGCUGACCACUAAGUCACCGUGCGCAAUCAAUUCCUUUAAGCCAAAGACACUUAAAUAUAGCAAAAAUGUAACUCAGUUAACUCUAUUGAAGUGUGUUUGGCUUAAAGGAAUUGAUUUAUCAACUAUAAAAUUUUGAGGUAAUUAGUUUCCACAAAUGUUUUGAGUUAAAUGAACUUAUCCGGUUUAACAGAGUAAAAUGACUCAUAUACAAAUCGACUAACUGUAAAUUUCAACUCGUUACAACGCUAGCAAAUUCUUCAUGAGAUAAAUCGCACAGCAGGUCUGAUUUAAUUUUUUUUUAUUAUUAUUUUACCUACGACAGGACUUUAUCAUCUUUGGAUUGAUCAAAGUAUCAUGUUGUUGUCUUUUACAGCAGAAUAAAACUCCAGUCAGAUGCAAAGGGUGGAAGGAUGCUUCUGGAGGACAGGCUCUUCACAGUAGACGAAUUUUAUUCGCAGAAGGCGUUCAGGUGGAGAAAUACGGGAGUGUAGUCUCCCUUCCUGUCUAACUGAAGGUGUGAAUGCCUACCCGAUAUAGCGCUUCAGUUCCCUGUACAGUAUAAUAAAAGGGUCUUCACGUGACAGUGUGUACCACGUAUCUAUCUUCUUAAGUGUCUAGCAACUUAUCCUAUGGUGAGAAUCAGCCAAAAGAGAAUCAAGCAGAU